rnacentral:rRNA from 1 species
AGAGUUUGAUCAUGGCUCAGAUUGAACGCUGGCGGCAGGCCUAACACAUGCAAGUCGAGCGGUAGCACAGAGAGCUUGCUCUCGGGUGACGAGCGGCGGACGGGUGAGUAAUGUCUGGGAAACUGCCUGAUGGAGGGGGAUAACUACUGGAAACGGUAGCUAAUACCGCAUGAUGUCGCAAGACCAAAGAGGGGGACCUUCGGGCCUCUUGCCAUCGGAUGUGCCCAGAUGGGAUUAGCUUGUAGGUGAGGUAACGGCUCACCUAGGCGACGAUCCCUAGCUGGUCUGAGAGGAUGACCAGCCACACUGGAACUGAGACACGGUCCAGACUCCUACGGGAGGCAGCAGUGGGGAAUAUUGCACAGUGGGCGCAAGCCUGAUGCAGCCAUGCCGCGUGUAUGAAGAAGGCCUUCGGGUUGUAAAGUACUUUCAGUCGGGAGGAAGGCAUUGAUGCUAAUAUCAUCAGCGAUUGACGUUACCGACAGAAGAAGCACCGGCUAACUCCGUGCCAGCCGCCGCGGUAAUUC